CUGACCUACUGUCCUGCCUUAGAAUGAACAACUGCGUGUAACGCGACAGGCCGUUAUAACAGAAGACUCCUCUCGGCCUCAAAGCUUUUGGGGUCUCCUCUCACCGUAAUCUGGAUCUUAACCCUCUGAUGUACUCAGCCAGCGUUCGCCUGUGAAAUUCCACUGACUUCAGUGGAGUUCCCCAACACGUACUGAGCAAGGAUGUAGAACAUAUUCUGACAUACCCUGUUUUAUUUUUCAACUCAUUGCCUAAAGAACCUUAUCAGUUUUGGACAACUGAAAAGCGAAAAUUUCAGGCCUCAAUUAUCUGAAGUGUUCCUGUGAGGAUCCUGAGGGAUAAGAGAGAAUCUGAGCAUCAGCGCUUCAAACGGCCAAGACCUUCUGUUCCAGCACUUAAGAUAAUUAAAAGAAAUCUUUCCACUGACUUCAGCGGGCUUCUGGGUCACAUACGGUCUCACCACAACAUUGAAACUGGAAAUACACAAAACCUUGUUUCCAAAUAGCAUCUGUGCCAAAACUGAGAA
rnacentral:lncRNA from 1 species